GUUGAGUGAAAAGUUAUCACGUAGAUGUGAGAUUUAAAUUAAAAACGAGAUAGAAAGUAGGGUGGGUGGAAAUCUCUGUGAGGUGAAGAAAAUCUCUUUAGGAAGAUAUCGUCGAUCAUUGUGAAAUGCAACUGAGGGAGGUCACAAUAAUUGGACGUAGACGAUUGAAAAGUUCACGAGAAAAAUUGAAUUUUGUAUAUCGGUAGAAAGAAACAGACGGAUAGACAGACGAACUGAGAAAUACUGCGAGAGAGAGAGAGAGAGAUUGAAAGAAAUUGAAAGAGAUCGAAAGAGAGAAAGAAAGAUGAAAAGGAUGCUGCUCAUAAGAAUGCAAAUACCGUGCGGAAGGUAAAGCUGGUGCUGAUAAUGGUGCAAUUGCAACGAGGUUGGUGGUGGUGGUGGUGGUGGUACACGCCUUUUGGGCUAGUAAGCUUGUCGUGCAUGUACAAAGCCCAUUGGAGAAGGGCUAGAUCGAGCGAACUAUUUGCCCAGAACUCAAGUGCACAAGGGAAACAUAGAUGCUAACGUCUCUAAUUAAACAGGAAUAGCUAGCACAGUGUAGAGUCUCUCUUGCUAUGUAUGUUACCUAACCCUCGAACUAUAUGGACGAAAACGUAUGAGAGCUCUACUCCAUAUGCGUACCUUUAAUCGUGUCUCUUCUCCCAUAUUCGAGCGAUACAAUCUCUUGAAACUGCCGAGAGGAACGUUGGAAGGAACGUAGAAAGGAAGGAAGAAAGAGACACUUUAUACCAAGCCAUGGAGCACUCGGCAACAGUGAUUAUCGAGAAAUGUAUAUAGGGAAGACUGUUUUCAGGCGCAAUAUAGAGCACAGGGAUAUUCAAGUUGAAUCGAGUAAUCGCGAGAAGGA
rnacentral:lncRNA from 1 species